rnacentral:rRNA from 1 species
UACGAAGGCAGCGAGCGUUGUUCGGAAUUACUGGGCGUAAAGAGUGUGUAGGCGGUGCUCUAAGUUCGGUGUGAAAUCUCCUGCUCAACUGGGAGGGUGCGCCGGAAACUGGAGUGCUUGAGCGUGGGAGAGGAAAGCGGAAUUCCUGGUGUGAGCGGUGAAAUGCGUAGAUAUCAGGAGGAACACCUGUGGUGUAGACGGCUUUCUGGACCAUAGCUGACGCUGAGACACGAAAGCGUGGGUAGCAAACAGG